rnacentral:rRNA from 1 species
UGGGGAAUAUUGCACAAUGGGCGCAAGCCUGAUGCAGCCAUGCCGCGUGUAUGAAGAAGGCCUUCGGGUUGUAAAGUACUUUCAGCGAGGAGGAAGGCAUUAAGGUUAAUAACCUUGGUGAUUGACGUUACUCGCAGAAGAAGCACCGGCUAACUCCGUGCCAGCAGCCGCGGUAAUACGGAGGGUGCAAGCGUUAAUCGGAAUUACUGGGCGUAAAGCGCACGCAGGCGGUCUGUCAAGUCGGAUGUGAAAUCCCCGGGCUCAACCUGGGAACUGCAUCCGAAACUGGCAGGCUAGAGUCUUGUAGAGGGGGGUAGAAUUCCAGGUGUAGCGGUGAAAUGCGUAGAGAUCUGGAGGAAUACCGGUGGCGAAGGCGGCCCCCUGGACAAAGACUGACGCUCAGGUGCGAAAGCGUGGGGAGCAAACAGG